rnacentral:rRNA from 1 species
UACGUAGGCAGCGAGCGUUGUUCGGAGUUACUGGGCGUAAAGAGUGCGUAGGCGGUUUUCUAAGUUUGGUGUGAAAUCUCCCGGCUCAACUGGGAGGGUGCGCCGAAGACUGGAAGGCUUGAGUAUGGGAGAGGUAAGCGGAAUCCCUGGUGUAGCGGUGAAAUGCGUAGAUAUCAGGAGGAACACCUGCGGUGUAGACGGCUUACUGGACCAUAACUGACGCUGAGGCACGAAAGCGUGGGUAGCAAACAGG